rnacentral:misc_RNA from 1 species
CCCUUGACGAUGCUAUUUUGUUCUCCUCAUUCAAGGCAGAUUUGCAGAUAUACUCGUGGUUUGCCCAGUCGCUGGCAGUUGAGGAAGAGAUGUUUCCUUCAGCAUUUAGAGGUUUGGCAAUCAAAAUGCAACUCUUUAGGAAAAGUAAGCUUUGGAGUGCAAAAAUGUGGACAGUUGAUUUUGAGCCUGAAAUAAUCACAUUAAUGAAAGUUGUACUUAAAAGUUGCCUUCAAUAAUUCUUUUGCACUCUGGACCUGAGUGCUAACAAAGCAUCUCAAGAUAACAGGCACGCUGCAUAGCUCCAGCAUUUGCUAAGUCUUCCAGUCAGCAAGCUUAGCCUGGGCAAGAAAUUACUGCAUCACAGAUCCAGUCAACAUGGUAACUAAGCAGACUCCUGCAGUUAGCCUCUCCAGAAAUUAGCUGGAUAUUCCUCACUUG